UACGGAGGGUGCAAGCGUUAUCCGGAUUCGCUGGGUUUAAAGGGUGCGUAGGCGGCCUGAUCAGUCAGUGGUGAAAGCUUCCCGCUUAACGGGAAAACUGCCAUUGAAACUUUCAGGCUUGAAUGAAGUUGAAGUGAGUGGAAUACAUCAUGUAGCGGUGAAAUGCUUAGAUAUGAUGUAGAACACCGAUUGCGAAGGCAUCUCACUAAGCUUUUAUUGACGCUGAGGCACGAAAGCGUGGGGAGCAAACAGG
rnacentral:rRNA from 1 species